rnacentral:rRNA from 1 species
UGCUAAUACCGGAUAACAAACAGAUGAUGCCUAUCAACUGUUUAAAAGAUGGUUCUGCUAUCACUCUUGGAUGGACCUGCGGUGCAUUAGCUAGUUGGUAGGGUAACGGCCUACCAAGGCGAUGAUGCAUAGCCGAGUUGAGAGACUGAUCGGCCACAUUGGGACUGAGACACGGCCCAAACUCCUACGGGAGGCAGCAGCG